UACGAGGGGGGCAAGCGUUGUCCGGAAUCAUUGGGCGUAAAGAGCGUGUAGGCGGCUCGAUAAGUCUGCUGUGAAAGUCCAGGGCUCAACCCUGGAAGGCCGGUGGAAACUGUCGGGCUAGAGUCCGGAAGAGGCGAGUGGAAUUCCCGGUGUAGCGGUGAAAUGCGCAGAUAUCGGGAGGAACACCAAUGGCGAAGGCGGUUUCCUGGAGCCCACUUGACGCUGAGACGCGAAAGCUGGGGGGAGCAAACGGG
rnacentral:rRNA from 1 species